UUUUCAACAAACAUAUAUUUGGGUACCGCUGUCAUUAUUUGGGUACCGAUGUCAUUAUUUGGUUUUGAAGCCCUUUAACUGUGUGGACGCAAGCUUGCCGCCAUAUUUGAAACAUAUUGAGCUAAAUUGUCGGGCUCCCUGUGUUGUAUUUUCCUGCGUUUAAUAUCACGUGACAGUGAUAACGGCUCGCCCUCUUCCAUCGUUGUUUGUGUGCUGCUGCCUUCCUUUCGUCGAAAGUCGAAAAGGUUUAUGAUCUGUUGUGACGGCUGCAACGUGGUUUCACGGCGAGUGUUUUGACAUUGGGGAGGAGGAGGCAGAGCUGCUUGACAAGUUUUUUUGCAGCAAGUGUAUUGAAUAAAUUGUUCUAUGCUGUCGAA